GCAGUGGUGGUUCAGUGGUAGAAUUCUUGCUUUCCAUGCAGGGGACUUGGGUUCAAUUCCCAACCAAUGUA
rnacentral:tRNA from 1 species